rnacentral:rRNA from 1 species
GAUGAACGCUGGCGGCGUGCCUAAUACAUGCAAGUCGAGCGAACGGACGAGAAGCUUGCUUCUCUGAUGUUAGCGGCGGACGGGUGAGUAACACGUGGAUAACCUACCUAUAAGACUGGGAUAACUUCGGGAAACCGGAGCUAAUACCGGAGGAUAUUUUGAACCGCAGGGUUCAAAAGUGAAAGACGGUCUUGCUGUCACUUAUAGAUGGAUCCGCGCUGCAUUAGCUAGUUGGUAAGGUAACGGCUUACCAAGGCAACGAUGCAUAGCCGACCUGAGAGGGUGAUCGGCCACACUGGAACUGAGACACGGUCCAGACUCCUACGGGAGGCAGCAGUAGGGAAUCUUCCGCAAUAGGCGAAAGCCUGACGGAGCAACGCCGCGUGAGUGAUGAAGGUCUUCGGAUCGUAAAACUCUGUUAUUAGGGAAGAACAUAUGUGUAAGUAACUGUGCACAUCUUGACGGUACCUAAUCAGAAAGCCACGGCUAACUACGUG